rnacentral:lncRNA from 1 species
CCAUGAGCUCCCUUUCUGAUUAGCUCAGGUGGGACUGGGUUUCUGUCAUUUGCCACCCAAGGAUCCUGCCCCAAAAGGAUGACAGAUGCUCCUUUUUCACAGACAAGAAAAUCAGGGUUCAGCACAGUGAGGUGCCCUGCCCAAGGUCACACAGCCAGUCAGAAGCAGAGGUGCUAGCUUUGUGUAGCUGGUGUGCACACACACACAGAGCAACAUGUAUACACCUGUGCACACACACGCGCACCCACACAUCCAUGCACACACAUGCACCCACACGCACCCACACAUCCACGCACGCACACGUGCACCCACGCAUCCAUGCACAGACAUGUGCAUACAUGCCUAACACAUCCACACGGACACGUGCUUAGCCGGGACCUGCAGGCUCCAGGCUGAGUCCUAGGAAUUGAGAUGCUAGUUCUGCAGUUCCUGUAGGUCCACCUGUCAGGCAUCUUCCUCCCCGGGGUGUGACAUCCGGCUCUGAAACCCAGAGGGGCCCCUAGGGCAGGGCAGUCAGGGGUCCUGCCGGCCGGUGUGGAGACCCCCAGGGAGGACGGCAGAACAGCCCAGGUGCCUGAGGUCGAGUCCCCGCACUCACCACCACGU